rnacentral:rRNA from 1 species
CUACGGGGCGCUCCAGUGGGGAAUAUUGCACAAUGGACGAAAGUCUGAUGCAGCAACGCCGCGUGGAGGAUGACACAUUUCGGUGCGUAAACUCCUUUUAUAUAGGAAGAUAAUGACGGUACUAUAUGAAUAAGCGCCGGCUAACUCCGUGCCAGCAGCCGCGGUAAUACGGAGGGCGCAAGCGUUACUCGGAAUCACUGGGCGUAAAGAGCGUGUAGGCGGAUAGAUAAGUCAGGAGUGAAAUCCUAUGGCUCAACCAUAGAACUGCUCUUGAAACUGUCUAUCUAGAAUAUGGGAGAGGUAGAUGGAAUUUCUGGUGUAGGGGUAAAAUCCGUAGAGAUCAGAAGGAAUACCGAUUGCGAAGGCGAUCUACUGGAACAUUAUUGACGCUGAGACGCGAAAGCGUGGGGAGCAAACGGGAUUAGAUACCCCGGUAGUC